ACUCGCACCUUGAUAAUCGAGCUACUUGGCCCCAUACUGAGUGCACGGUUGUAAUUCCGGCAAUCUGGCGGCGUUCUGGACGCGGGUUCGACUCCCGCCACCUCCACCCAAGCGUAUCGGAGUGCGCUUCGGUGGGGGUGUAUCUGGUUUCGACAGGGCGAACAAAGGAAAGCAGGCAACCCGUCAGGCGAUCGACGUUAAUGAAGCAAAUCUCUAAACGCCAACGAUGAGCGUUUCGCACUGGCCGCUUAAGGCCUAUGCCGAGGCUGCUUGAGCCUUGUUACCAAAGAAGCCGGUGGGGACUUCGGUCCCCAUCGUCA
rnacentral:tmRNA from 1 species